CCUUCCCCUAGAAGCAUUGCAGAUUCGGCUGCUGUGUCUCAUGUGUGUGAAUAGGUGGCAGAGAGGAGAGAAUCUGUGUCUACACUUAGUGUUUCAACCUGUGACUAUCUGAAUGAUUCGUAGCCUAGAAUU